rfam:Xanthomonas oryzae pv. oryzae KACC10331, complete genome.
AUGUACGAGCGGGACAUGUCGCACCGAGCACCGUCCGCGCCCAUCUGACAGCUGCUCGCUACGUUGUGUUGGUC